CACUAUCGUUAACUGAAUACAUAGGUUAACGAGGCGAACCGGGGGAACUGAAACAUCUAAGUACCCCGAGGAAAAGAAAUCAACCGAGAUUCCCCCAGUAGCGGCGAGCGAACGGGGAGCAGCCCAGAGUCUGAAUCAGCUUGUGUGUUAGUGGAACGGUCUGGAAAGUCCGACGGUACAGGGUGAUAGUCCCGUACACCAAAAUGCACAGGCUGUGAACUCGAAGAGUAGGGCGGGACACGUGGUAUCCUGUCUGAAUAUGGGGGGACCAUCCUCCAAGGCUAAAUACUCCUGACUGACCGAUAGUGAACCAGUACCGUGAGGGAAAGGCGAAAAGAACCCCGGCGAGGGGAGUGAAAAAGAACCUGAAACCGUGUACGUACAAGCAGUGGGAGCACCUUCGGGUGUGACUGCGUACCUUUUGUAUAAUGGGUCAGCGACUUAUAUUCUGUAGCAAGGUUAACCGUAUAGGGGAGCCGCAGGGAAACCGAGUCUUAACUGGGCGUUAAGUUGCAGGGUAUAGACCCGAAACCCGGUGAUCUAGCCAUGGGCAGGUUGAAGGUUGGGUAACACUAACUGGAGGACCGAACCGACUAAUGUUGAAAAAUUAGCGGAUGACUUGUGGCUGGGGGUGAAAGGCCAAUCAAACCGGGAGAUAGCUGGUUCUCCCCGAAAGCUAUUUAGGUAGCGCCUCGUGAAUUCAUCUUCGGGGGUAGAGCACUGUUUCGGCUAGGGGGUCAUCCCGACUUACCAACCCGAUGCAAACUACGAAUACCGAAGAAUGUUAUCACGGGAGACACACGGCGGGUGCUAACGUCCGUCGUGAAGAGGGAAACAACCCAGACCGCCAGCUAAGGUCCCAAAGUCAUGGUUAAGUGGGAAACGAUGUGGGAAGGCACAGACAGCCAGGAUGUUGGCUUAGAAGCAGCCAUCAUUUAAAGAAAGCGUAAUAGCUCACUGGUCGAGUCGGCCUGCGCGGAAGAUGUAACGGGGCUAAACCAUGCACCGAAGCUGCGGCAGCGACACUAUGUGUUGUUGGGUAGGGGAGCGUUCUGUAAGCCUGCGAAGGUGUGCUGUGAGGCAUGCUGGAGGUAUCAGAAGUGCGAAUGCUGACAUAAGUAACGAUAAAGCGGGUGAAAAGCCCGCUCGCCGGAAGACCAAGGGUUCCUGUCCAACGUUAAUCGGGGCAGGGUGAGUCGACCCCUAAGGCGAGGCCGAAAGGCGUAGUCGAUGGGAAACAGGUUAAUAUUCCUGUACUUGGUGUUACUGCGAAGGGGGGACGGAGAAGGCUAUGUUAGCCGGGCGACGGUUGUCCCGGUUUAAGCAUGUAGGCUGGUUAUCCAGGCAAAUCCGGAUAAUCAAGGCUGAGGUGUGAUGACGAGGCACUACGGUGCUGAAGUAACAAAUGCCCUGCUUCCAGGAAAAGCCUCUAAGCAUCAGGUAACAUCAAAUCGUACCCCAAACCGACACAGGUGGUCAGGUAGAGAAUACCAAGGCGCUUGAGAGAACUCGGGUGAAGGAACUAGGCAAAAUGGUGCCGUAACUUCGGGAGAAGGCACGCUGGUGUGUAGGUGAAGUCCCUGCGGAUGGAGCUGAGACCAGUCGAAGAUACCAGCUGGCUGCAACUGUUUAUUAAAAACACAGCACUGUGCAAACACGAAAGUGGACGUAUACGGUGUGACGCCUGCCCGGUGCCGGAAGGUUAAUUGAUGGGGUUAUCCGUAAGGAGAAGCUCUUGAUCGAAGCCCCGGUAAACGGCGGCCGUAACUAUAACGGUCCUAAGGUAGCGAAAUUCCUUGUCGGGUAAGUUCCGACCUGCACGAAUGGCGUAAUGAUGGCCAGGCUGUCUCCACCCGAGACUCAGUGAAAUUGAACUCGCUGUGAAGAUGCAGUGUACCCGCGGCAAGACGGAAAGACCCCGUGAACCUUUACUAUAGCUUGACACUGAACAUUGAGCCUUGAUGUGUAGGAUAGGUGGGAGGCUUUGAAGCGUGGACGCCAGUCUGCGUGGAGCCAACCUUGAAAUACCACCCUUUAAUGUUUGAUGUUCUAACGUUGGCCCCUUACCGGGGUUGCGGACAGUGUCUGGUGGGUAGUUUGACUGGGGCGGUCUCCUCCCAAAGCGUAACGGAGGAGCACGAAGGUUAGCUAAUCCUGGUCGGACAUCAGGAGGUUAGUGCAAUGGCAUAAGCUAGCUUGACUGCGAGCGUGACGGCGCGAGCAGGUGCGAAAGCAGGUCAUAGUGAUCCGGUGGUUCUGAAUGGAAGGGCCAUCGCUCAACGGAUAAAAGGUACUCCGGGGAUAACAGGCUGAUACCGCCCAAGAGUUCAUAUCGACGGCGGUGUUUGGCACCUCGAUGUCGGCUCAUCACAUCCUGGGGCUGAAGUAGGUCCCAAGGGUAUGGCUGUUCGCCAUUUAAAGUGGUACGCGAGCUGGGUUUAGAACGUCGUGAGACAGUUCGGUCCCUAUCUGCCGUGGGCGCUGGAGAAUUGAGGGGGGCUGCUCCUAGUACGAGAGGACCGGAGUGGACGCAUCACUGGUGUUCGGGUUGUCAUGCCAAUGGCACUGCCCGGUAGCUAAAUGCGGAAGAGAUAAGUGCUGAAAGCAUCUAAGCACGAAACUUGCCCCGAGAUGAGUUCUCCCUGAGACUUUAAGUCUCCUGAAGGAACGUUGAAGACGACGACGUUGAUAGGCCGGGUGUGUAAGCGCAGCGAUGCGUUGAGCUAACCGGUACUAAUGAACCGUGAGGCUUAACCUU
rnacentral:rRNA from 1 species